UGAUGACGAUGAUGAUGGUGAUGAUGAUGAUAAUGAUGAUGAUGAUAGUAGGGAAGUGGUGUGAUCAUCAAAAAUCAUCAUCACCAUCAUCAUCAGCGUCAUCACCAUUAUUAUUA
rnacentral:pre_miRNA from 1 species